rnacentral:rRNA from 1 species
GCAACCUACCUAUCACUGGGGGAUAGCCCGGGGAAACCCGGAUUAAUACCGCAUAAAACAGGGGCACCGCAUGGUGCUAUUUGUUAAAGAUUUCUUGGUGAUAGAUGGGCAUGCGUUCGAUUAGCUAGUUGGUACGGGUAACGGCCUACCAAGGCGACGAUCGAUAGGGGAGCUGAGAGGUUGAUCC